rnacentral:misc_RNA from 1 species
GAUGAAGAACGUAGCAAAAUGCGAUAAGUAAUGUGAAUUGCAGAAUUCAGUGAAUCAUCGGAUCUUUGAACGCACAUUGCGCCCGCCAGUAUUCUGGCGGGCAUGCCUGUUCGAGCGUCAUUUCAACCCUCAAGCACAGCUUGGUGUUGGGACUCGCGUUAAUUCGCGUUCCUCAAAUUGAUUGGCGGUCACGUCGAGCUUCCAUAGCGUAGUAGUAAAACCCUCGUUACUGGUAAUCGUCGCGGCCACGCCGUUAAACCCCAACUUCUGAAUGUUGACCUCGGAUCAGGUAGGAAUACCCGCUGAACUUAAGCAUAUCAAUAAGCGGAGGA